GAGGGCAUAGCUCAGUGGUAGAGCGUGUGCUUAGCGUGCACAAUGUCCCCAGUUCAAUCCCCAGUGCCUCCA
rnacentral:tRNA from 1 species